rnacentral:rRNA from 1 species
AUGUCUAUGAUGAGUGAACUCAAAUUCUUUCUUGGGUUGCAAAUCAAGCAAACUAAGGAAGGUACUUUUGUCUCUCAAACGAAGUACACUAAGGACUUAUUCAAGAAGUUCAAUAUGCAAGAAUGCAAAGGUAUGACUACACCCAUGCCUACUAGUGGACAUCUUGACUUAACCAAAGAUGAUGAACCGGUUGAUCAAAAGGGUUAUCGCUCUAUGAUUGGUUCAUUGUUAUAUCUAUGUGCUUCACGUCCUGAUAUUAUGCUAAGUGUGUGCAUGUGUGCACAAUAUCAAGCUGCUCCUAAAGAAUGUCAUCUUAAGGCCGUGAAAAGGAUAGUGAGAUACUUAAUCCAUACACCAAAUUUUGGCAUUUGGUAUCCUAAGAGGGCCUCUUUCGAUCUUGUUGGCUACUCCGACUCGGACUAUGCCGGAGACAAGGUUGAUAGAAAGUCCACUUCAGGUACUUGUCAAUUUCUUGGUAGAUCUCUUGUGUCUUGGUCUUCCAAGAAACAAAACUCGGUAUCCUUAUCCACCGCCGAAGCGGAAUACAUUGCCGCUGGUUCAUGUUGUGCUCAGUUACUUUGGAUGACCCAAACUCUUAAAGAUUAUGGAAUUCAUGUGAAAUAUGUUCCAUUGCUUUGUGACAAUGAAAGUGCUAUCAAAAUUGGUCACAAUCCUGUGCAACAUUCUCGAACUAAGCAUAUUGAAGUUCGUCAUCAUUUCAUUCGAGAUCAUGUUGCUAAGGGUGACAUUGAUCUUAAGCAUGUUCGCACCGAAAAGCAAUUAGCGGAUAUAUUCACUAAACCUCUUGAUGAGAAAGUGUUUUACAGGUUAAGAGGAGAAUUGAACAUCAUUGAUGCUUCCAACUUGGAGUAG